rnacentral:rRNA from 1 species
UACGUAGGGUGCAAGCGUUGUCCGGAAUUAUUGGGCGUAAAGAGCUCGUAGGCGGUCUGUCGCGUCGGCUGUGAAAUCUUGGGGCUCAACCCCGAGCCUGCAGUCGAUACGGGCAGACUAGAGUGCUGUAGGGGAGACUGGAAUUCCUGGUGUAGCGGUGAAAUGCGCGGAUAUCAGGAGGAACACCGGUGGCGAAGGCGGGUCUCUGGGCAGUGACUGACGCUGAGGAGCGAAAGCGUGGGGAGCGAACAGG